GAUGAACGCUAGCGGCAGGCCUAAUACAUGCAAGUCGAGGGGUAGAGAGAGCUUGCUCUCUUGAGACCGGCGCACGGGUGCGUAACGCGUAUGCAACCUACCUUUAUCUGGGGGAUAGCCCGAAGAAAUUCGGAUUAACACCGCAUAAAAUCACAGAACGGCAUCGUUCAAUGAUCAAAUAUUCAUAGGGUAGAGAUGGGCAUGCGUGCCAUUAGUUAGUUGGCGGGGUAACGGCCCACCAAGACCGCGAUGGCUAGGGGAUCUGAGAGGAUGGCCCCCCACACUGGUACUGAGACACGGACCAGACUCCUACGGGAGGCAGCAGUAAGGAAUAUUGGUCAAUGGAGGCAACUCUGAACCAGCCAUGCCGCGUGCAGGAAGACAGCCCUCUGGGUCGUAAACUGCUUUUAUUCGGGAAUAAACCUGCUUACGUGUAAGUAGCUGAAUGUACCGAAGGAAUAAGGAUCGACUAACUCCGUGCCAGCAGCCGCAGUAACAC
rnacentral:rRNA from 1 species